CUUCCAUUGAGUACCAUUAGACCACUCAAGAAGAAUUACCUCAUAUAACCAAGAUUUAAUGUUGUUAAGCAGAUUUUGAGCGGAUUUCAUUCAUUCUGCAGCCAGCUCACCAGAACCUCUGGGUGCACCAGCUGUGGAUAUUACAGGCCAAACUUUGGUUUUCACAUUGUUUGGAGGACAAAAUCGGGAAGGAUGUAGGGGCACACAGUUUGGGCACACAUACACAGUUCAUCUUUGGACACCCUAGGACAACAUCCUUAGCACAGAUCCACCUAUAGCCCUCCAUCAUUCCCACAUCCAUCUUGCAACAGUUUCAUUAACUGCAGUCCAUAACCAGUUCACGGUCUACACCUUGUCCAUUGCAAAUGUUAUGGAUUAUUCUAAUAGAGAUCUUUCUAUUAUUUUUUGAGACUGUUAUUAUGUACUCUGUUAUGUUGUGAAUAAAGUCAGCCCCCCCCCCACCUCGAUGCUUUCAGCAGUUAAUAGAUUAAAGUGUGUCCUUAAUGUUUUAUUAUUUAAAGAUUGUUUUAAAGUUUAUUACAGGCUCAGUUUAUUUUUUUUCACUAGAAAAUAAAGUGGAGUAUUAACUGUCAUAAUCAAGUAUGAGACUUUUGUCAGUAUAAUUAAUUCUAUGAGGCAAUAUGAAUCAAAUUAACAUUUGUAUAGGGUUUUCAUCCGAAGGCUUCUUCCUCAUUCAGUUAAACAUCAAGGGUUUUCUAUGCCUUUGUCACCUUUUACUUUCUCAUUGGAAAUUUAUGAGCAUCAGUAUUUGGAAGAAAAUAAGAAUAUGAAAAUGGCUUUGAUUUCAAUGUAUUGAAUGGAAUCAAAGAACCACACAAACCUUUGACCUUCACACAGACAUUGUAUUAAUUAAAGUGUUACUCAAAUUA